rnacentral:rRNA from 1 species
UACGUAGGGUCCAAGCGUUAUCCGGAAUCACUGGGCGUAAAGCGUGCGUAGGCGGGCGUUUAAGUGAGUUGUUAAAUCGUGUGGCUCAACCAUAUCGAUGCAAUUCAUACUGGACUCCUAGAGGAGGGCAGAGGCAAGUGGAAUUUGUAGUGUAGCAGUGAAAUGCGUAGAUAUUACAAGGAACACCAAUGGCGAAGGCAGCUUGCUGGGCCUUUUCUGACGCUGAGGUACGAAAGCGUGGGGAGCGAACAGG